UACAGAGGGUGCAAGCGUUGUUCGGAAUCAUUGGGCGUAAAGGGCGCGUAGGCGGUUUGUCAAGUCGAAUGUGAAAGCCCAGGGCUCAACCUUGGAAGUGCAUCCGAAACUGGCAGACUAGAAUCUCGGAGAGGGUGGUGGAAUUCCCAGUGUAGAGGUGAAAUUCGUAGAUAUUGGGAGGAACACCGGUGGCGAAGGCGACCACCUGGACGAAGAUUGACGCUGAGGCGCGAAAGCGUGGGUAGCAAACAGG
rnacentral:rRNA from 1 species